UUUCAGACUUGGCUGUGAAACUGCCCUGUGGGUCUGAAAUUCAGGAGACAGUAUGGUAAGGCCGUUUUGAUUAGAUUUCUGCAAGCUUCUCUGUCUGAGCCGUCUGCUCAGUACAUGAUACCCAAAGAAGAUUGCACAAUUCUUCACCUGUUGUGUUUCUAAAAUGAAAUGGGAUUAUCUACCUGACAACCAGGACAGGGUUUCAGAGAAAGGCAGGUUGGCACAGUGGAAAGUGCACAGGCUCUGAGUCUUCAGACCCAGUGUUACCACUAUGUGACCCAGGGCAUAUUAAUGAGCCUCAACUCAACGGAACCUCUUCAACUCAACCUAUGACAAUAACACUUCAUUCACAGAGGUCAUGUGAGUACACACCAAGAUGGCGGCCACCUACAAGCCAACAGAGAAGACUUCAGAAUGAAACCUAU